GUCACCUAGGGAUCUUGUUAAAAUGCAGAUUCUGAUCCCAAGUCUGGCUGAGGAUAAUGUUUCUGCAUUUCUAACAAGUUCCCAGAUGAUGUUAG
rnacentral:pre_miRNA from 1 species